rnacentral:lncRNA from 1 species
AACACUUGCCACAACCAUGUCACAGAACAAUGCAAAUGACAUGUUCACACAAAUAAUGAGGAGAUGACCAUUUUCAUAACACUGCACAAUUCACAACAACACAAUCAUGAUACAACAUCAACAAUCAUUCAACAAGCCUUUCAAACCAUUCUCAACACAUCACACAAACAGUUGAUCACAUUGCCUUUUAUUAUCCCUUUUUCAUCAUUAAAAUUAAUCAAUGUGGACAAGUCAACACCAUCACCAAGUCUCAUUACCCCCAAACACAUAUUACAAGGAAAUACACAAAUUUCAUACUCUUAACAAGGGUUUUAGAAAUCCACUUGCCUCAAAUAAUUGAACAAUCACUCCGGGACUUGAGCCUUCCCUUUUCGUUGAGCUUCCAAAUAAAUGCAAUCUAUUCAAAUAUAUAUUCACAAUAAGAUUUCGAAACUAACAACACCCACAUUAUUAUGUGUUAGCCUUGACCUAAAAAUUCACUAGAAUUUAUAAUCAAGUUCGUAAAUCUUGAUGCCAAUUAACAUUUCAACUAUCAUAAUUUUCUAAGUUUCAAGUCUAGGGUUAAGUUCCAAUUUUAUCGAAUAUCAUAAUUCGAAUGGUAUUCACCUAAUACCAUACAUCUAAUAUUUAAUUACACAUACCAACCUAUCAAAACUUGAAUCAUAAUAUAAUAACCAAAAAAUAUAUAACUUAAACCGAAUGCCUUAGGAACAGUAACGGAACUUGAAUUUUUUUCCUUUGACACCCUUUAUUCCAACCAAUGAUUGGCUCAUCAUUCUUAUUAAUUUAGCACCCACCAGUUACCAUUAAUUUCCAAAACAAACUCACAAACCCUUUUUAACAAACAUACAGUAAUCCACCUCAAUUUCCCAUCUAACUCUUAAUGAAUUCAAAAUAUUAACCAACAGAAAAACAUAUCUUAUAUCCUAGUACUGUUUCAUCCGCCAACCAUAAUAAUUUAACCAGUACCCUCUAGUCCAUAAAUAUAUGUAAAUAAUAUAUGCAUAUAUUUGUACACGAAAGGAAAAAUUAGCUUCACAUAUAUGUAUUUAUUAUAUACCUCAAUACUCCUUGCUUCCAAGCCGCAACUCCACGAACUUUCUUUCGUUUUCGCCGCACAUGUGAGUUCUUGCCUUUUCUUUAUCUUUUCCUAAACUAUGACCCAACAAUCUCAACCCAAAUGAUUUAUUUUCCUAUAUAGGUCAAGUGGUAUUAAACUAAUUAUAACUUAACCCAUUAAGCAUUAACUAAAAUUAGUUAUUUAAUAAUUAACCAUCAAUUAAUUCACUCUAGUUAAAUGAAUAUUUAAAAUUUCCAAAAAUGACUUUACGGGUCAUUACAUGUAGCCUCUCAUCCUGACACCAGAAAGUCGUUCCUCAAUGGAGAAGAUUCUCUUCUCUCUUUGAUAUUUUUUAAAGUUCUCGUAUCUAUUUGUCAAUGGCAAUAAGCUUGGCAUUGACAAACACAUCAGAUAGGUUUUCUGAAGUAGCUCAAGUUUUAGGGAAUAUGGUCGGUGCACUUGCUGAGCAACCUUCAUCAAGAUUGCUGAAACACAUAAUCAGGUGCUAUAUAUCUUCGUUUAUCAGAUGAGCCAAGGUUAAUUUUAUGUUUAUCACCAUCCCGGUUUUCCUUUGAUCAGCUUGCUUAUGUGUGACAUAUCACAGCCCUUUUUGAUCUUUCUGUUUCUGUGAGAGGCUAAAGGCGAUGCAUGUGUAUGGCUUAUGGCAGGGCUUGUAAGGCACUGAAAAUUUGUCUUCCCAAUAUGCUUAGAGAUGACACCUUCAGCAGUUGUCUUCGUGUAUGUAAUAUUUGGCUAUAGAAGUAGCUCCCCCUUUCCCUCCUGAAUCAUGAAUUAUUCUUUUCUCGGCAUCAGACGACCCUUGUUAUUUUUUCUGACCAUGACUGGUUUUGUUGCAUUAUGUUAUCAGGAGGAUCCGAUAACGAGAAGGUGGCUGCAACAAUUGCUCCUUAACGUUAAUGGAAAUCGGGUUGCUCUACUAGCUGGAGCAUUUGAUCGUAUGCUGUGAACUGAAUUCAUACAAAUGGGACUUAAAUUAAGGAUGCAUUUCUGUACUCAUAGGACGUGGAAUUUAAUGGAGUAUUUAAUUGGGAAUGCAUUUCUGCACUCAUAUUUAUUUAUGUAGUGCAUUAUGUGAAUUGUUAUGAAGAUUAUUAUUAGGAAAUUAAGACUAUUAUUGAACCUUUAUUAAGCCUGUCUAUUUUGGUUUUUCGCUCACUGUCUGGUAUCCACAUAUUGGGGCCUAUCUAAAUUCAGAUUCAUGUGAUUUUCGAGCCUUCUGGUUAAGGACGCAAGAAUACUUAUCAUUUUGUGUGUUUGGAAUGAAAGAAAAUCUUUUCCAUGGAAAUAAUUUUUUUAAGAAAAUGUUUUGUUAGAAAAUAAAUGGGUUUAUUAUUUAUUUCCUAUUGUUUGGUAAAUAAGGAAAAAAUAUUAUCUCAAGAUCAUUUAUAUGUAUUCUACCAAAACACUAUGUGAGCGAGAUGGGGUGGGGAGUGGUGGUUUGGGGGUGGCAGGGGUUUAGAUGGUUGAGUGGGGGCGGUGGGGUUGUUGGGAAGUGAUAAUACAUUUGCAAUGUCACUUAUGUAACUUUUUUUUUUCUACUUUGAUUAAGGAACACAUUUUCCUUAUCUUUAAGAAGCUUUUUUUUUUACAAUAUAUUUUUCAACCAACUAAAUAAUUGAAGAAUAUUUAUUGGAAAAUAUUUUCUUUUGUCCGAAACACAUUCAGAUCUAUGUCCCUUCAACGAACUUUUCUGAGGUAGAUAUUAAUGUAAUCCUCAUUAUUUAUUUAUUUAUUUUGGUAAUAGCCGUGAAUAUUAUCAUACCAAAUCAAUGUGUUUAUAAAACUAAAGAGCAUCCAAGUGCUUAACCAACAUAGCGCCAUCAGGUUGCCUUAGCUACUAGAGAGUGCAUCAUUUGGUGUCAGAGUAUAUCUUCCCUUUUGGUACCAUUGGAUCAUCACAAUCUUCAGAAUAGUCAACUUCUUCAAAUAUCAACUAGUCUUGAGGUGAUAUUUGCUUAGUGUUCUUCAUAUAGUAUCCAAUUUACCACAAUACAUUUUUCUUACUUUCCAAUUGCCAUAAGAGCUUCACAACAACAACUAUGUUUCACAGUUUGCAAUUCUUAAUAUUCAAACCUCCAUACUUCUUAGUUCUUAGGUACACAUAAGAUUCAGGAGGCAAGCUUUUACUUUGUCCAUGUUGCAUCAAUACGAUGUGCGAUAUCAUUGUCAAUAUCUCCACUUUCCUGAAUUACAAGACAUUAGAUACUUGAAAUAUCUUUCUUAGGAAUAAGUUGUGUGUUUAAGUGUCACAUCCAUGCCUUUUUCGUUCAUUGCAUCACUAAAUUUGCACUUCAAGUGAUUUGGUCCUACUCAACCUGAAUCUUUUAGACUCCAGUGCUUUUCUACAUACCUCCAACCUAGCACUAAUUCAUAUGUAUGUCUCAUCAAUUAGUAUUAUGUCAUCCGCAAACAACAUACAUUAAGAGAUCUUAUCUUAUAUCUGCAACGUCAAUCAUCCAUCACCAUGACAAACAAAAAUGGGCUAAGAAUUGAUCCCUUGUGCAACCUUAUCUCAAUUAUGAAGUGCUUUGAGUUUCCUCUCAUCAUUCUAAUCGAGGUUUGACUCCAUCAUGCAUGUCAUUUAUCUCCGUAAGUAUGUGAUAUGUACACCUCUAGCCUCCGUGUAUUUCAGAGGGCUAAUGUUGAGACUUUGGUGUAAGCCUUUCAAAGUCAAUGAAUAUCAUAUGUAUGUCCCUCUUUCUCUACUAAUAUUUCUCUAUCUAACUCCAGACAAGAGAUAUUACUUUUGUAGUCGAUUAUCCGACAUGAAUCCGAAUCGAUUCUCAAUUUUAAUAGCAAUAAAUGCUAGAAAGAUGAUUGAAUUUAGUGUGUCCAUCUCCCUUGUUUAAUGAAGUCCUUGAUGUUAUGAUGGCUCAAAAUUUAAGUUAGUUACUAAUAAAUAUGAUUUUUUUUAUUUCAAAUAUCACAUCUUGCAUAAUUAUAUUCAAUUAUUCAAUUGGACCAUUCUUGACAUUAUGAUUUUUUAUAUACUAUAUUUCUUUCAUAUUUAUUUUAAAAUAUUUUAUUUGAAUCGAAAUUUAGUAGGAAUUAUCUCUUUCUUCAUAAGAUAAGAGUAAAUUCGCCUACACAUUAUUCUACUCAAAUUUAUCUUAUGAGACUAAAUUGGAAUGCAAUUAUUGUUAAAUUAUCUUCGCACAGAAAAAUGAGAAAGCAAAGUAUGGUAGCUUCAAUUUGUCAUUAUUUUUGACAUAAACUACCUAACAAGACAUACUUUCCUACCAUAUAUACUAAUAUUAUCUCUACUUUCAAACAAUUACAUAUAUUACCACUUUUAGUAUUUUAUACCAUAUAUUUUAAAAGAUAUAAUUAGAUACACAAAUCUCUUAUAGUUAGGAUUGAUUAAUUAUUUUACAUUUAAAAAUCAAAAUUAAUGAUCCAAAUAUCUUUCUCUCUCAUCAACCCUCCUCUCCUGUACCUCCUCCAUAAAUCGUCCCCCCUCCCCCAUGUAUUAUUUUAGUUAUCAUGAUCAUGUCAUCUAUAUGGUCAUACAUUUCAUUUU